GGCUACUACGGGACGUAGACCUGAGCCUACCCUACGCUCAUGAACGCAGCAUGACUGCACUUCAUCACCACACCACUAGGCUAUGUGAGCAAACUGCAUAGGCUACGAUCGAUUUGACAGCACUCGCAAGUCCGAAGAAGUCACCUUGCUUUUAGCUUAAUGUGCUUUUGAGAAACAAUGGCUGUGUCUCAUGUGACCU